rnacentral:misc_RNA from 1 species
AACCAUAGAAACCUGCGGAGUACCUGCGGAGGGAUCAUUACAAAUUAUGGUGAACCUCGUGAAAGCGAGGUUUUGCAUCCAUUAAUUUCGUAUUUAAAACAUCCGCUCUUAUAAAAAAUUAUUUUAUGAUAAAAUUAAAAAAAAGAUAACUUUCAACAACGGAUCU